GAUGAACGCUGGCGGCGUGCCUAAUACAUGCAAGUCGAGCGAACAGACGAGGAGCUUGCUCCCCUGACGUUAGCGGCGGAGGGGUGAGUAACACGUGGAUAAUCUACCUAUAAGACUGGGAUAAAUUCGGGAAACCGGCGCUAAUACCGGACAAUAUAUUGUACCGCAUGGUUCACUAGUGAAAGACGGUUUUGUUGGUACCUAGAGACGCAUCCGCGCCGCAUUGGCUAGUUGGGAAGGUAACGGCUUACCAAGGCAACGAUGCUAAUCCGACCGGAGAGGGUGUACGGCUAGACUGGAUCUGAGAAUGGUCCCAGACUCUUGCGGUAGGAGGCGGCCGGGAAUCUUCCGCAAUGGGGGAAAGCCGAACGUUACAACGCCGCGUGAGUCAUGAAGGUCUUCGGCUGGUAAAACUCUGUUAUUAGGAAGGAUGAAAUGUGUAGUUAACUGUGCACAUCUUGACGGUACCUUAACAGAAAGCCACGGCUAACUACGUG
rnacentral:rRNA from 1 species